ACUGAACUGUUGAAAUGGUAAACAUUCAAGAUUUAGAUUCUUGUGCUUUAAAAAUAAAGCUUAGGGGUUCAAGUCCCCUGUUCAGUA
rnacentral:tRNA from 1 species